GACGUAGGAGGCGAGCGUUGUCCGGAUUCAUUGGGCGUAAAGAGCGCGCAGGCGGCUUGGUAAGUCGGAUGUGAAAUCCCGAGGCUCAACCUCGGGUCUGCAUCCGAUACUGCCCGGCUAGAGGUAGGUAGGGGGAGAUCGGAAUUCCUGGUGUAGCGGUGAAAUGCGCAGAUAUCAGGGAGGAACACCGGUGGCGAAGGCGGGUCUCUGGACAGUUCCUGACGGCUGAGGCACGGAAGGCCAGGGGACGCAAACGGG
rnacentral:rRNA from 1 species